rnacentral:rRNA from 1 species
GGGGAAAUUGGAAUGGGCGCAGCCUGAUCAGCCUGCCGCGUGAGUGAAGAAGGCCUUCGGGUUGUAAAGCUCUUUUGUCCAGGAAGAUAACCACGGUGCUAAUACCAGAUUGGGAUGACGGUACCGAAAGAAUAACCACCGGCUAACUACGUGCCAGCAGCCGCGAUAAUAA